GUUUACCAAAAGUUCAGGAAAUACUAGCGUUCAAGAACUCGCCUUCGAACCUAAAAAAACACAUUGAGAGAAAGCAUGUACACCAUCUUAAGAAGUAUGAAGAACUGACGGCAAACACACUGAAGAGAAAACAUGCCCCUGAGACACCAUCAAGCAGAGCACAUUACUGAAGACAGUGUCUCUCAAAUCCAUUGACAAAGCUGUGGUGAAGUAUGUGGUCCAAGGGCUCCAACCAUUCACUGUUGUAGAACAAGAACCGUUCAGAGAGUUUAUCCAGGAUCUGCAGCCUAACUCAAAGAUCUUAUCAAGGCCCACACUGCGCUCCAGGAUUGAUGAAGCCUCCACGGAAAUUAAGAAGAAGGUGACUGAGGCAAUGAGAGGAGUUGACCACAUCGCCACCACCACCGACUGCUGGUCUGCAAGAAGAUGGAGCUUCAUUGAUGUUACAGCCCACUGGAUAGACCCUGAUAGUCUCAACAGAUGCUCUGCAGUCCUGGCCUGUAAACGGUUGAGAGGAUCGCACACCUUUGAUGUGUUGGCAGGCGCCCUAAAUGACAUCCAUUCUGAGUUUGAAAUCCGGGGUAGGAUUGUGAGAACAACAACAGACAACGGCUCUAACUUCUUGAAAGCUUUCCAAGUUUUUGGAGAAGAUGAAAACAACGAGGCAGUGGAAGCAGUGGGUGGUGAAACAGCUCAGCCUGGACAGGAAGAUGAUCAAGAGGAGAGUGAAGAAGUGGAGUUUGUUGAUGUGGCAACGAUCCUGAAUGAAGAUGAUGGUUUUGAGUACCAGCUGCCGAAGCACCAGCGCUGUGCUUGCCACCUACUCAACUUAGUAUCUACAGUCGAUGCCCUGAAAGCAACAUCCAUUGAGGCUUACAAAAAAGUGUCCCGUUCAACAUUUGGCAAGUGCCAAGCACUUUGAAACAAAUGCGGAAGAUCCACACUUGCAGCCAAAACGGUUGAAGAUGCUUGCGACCUCCAGCUGCUACGCCCGAAUGCUACAAGGUGGAACUCCUGGUUCAUGGCAGUAGAAAGAAUCCUGAGGAUCGUCAAAGACAAAGGAGGGGCGGCCGUCAGAGUUCUCUGCACAGACUUCGAGGUUCCAAUAGUAUGCUGCCACCAUGAGCCCAGUUGCAAAGGACAUCAACAUCCUGCAGGCUGAAACCAAUGUCCAGAUGGGGUGGCUACUUCCAACUGUCAACCUGCUGAUCACAAAACUUGACCGAAUCAAGUUGUCCCUGAAGUACUGUAAGCCUCUGGUGGAUGCGCUACAACUGGGACUGAAGAUGCGCUUCAGCCACAUUUCAUGUAGUCCCGUGUAGCUCAGUUGGUAGAGCAUGGCGCUUGCAACGCCAGAGUUGUGGGUUCGA